UAGGGAAUCUUCGGCAAUGGACGAAAGUCUGACUGAGCAACGCCGCGUGAGUGAAGAAGGUUUUCGGAUCGUAAAACUCUGUUGGUAGAGAAGAACGUUGGUGAGAGUGGAAAGCUCAUCAAGUGACGGUAACUACCCAGAAAGGGACGGCUAACUACGUGCCAA
rnacentral:rRNA from 1 species